AGGUUAAAAUCUACAGAAUCUUAGAAUGCCCUAUUUUUAACUUGCUCCAACUUCAAACAAAAUUUUGUGCUACACUGUACAAACUCUAAUAAUUCUAAAUCCAACCAAAUCGAACAGUAGACAAAUUCUAUCAUUUAAUUGAUUCCAACAGGUCCAAAAAUGUUUUUUUUUCUGAACAUGCUGAAGGUUGGAAUCUAUUACAUUCAGCACAGUGCAGAGAGAAAACUUUAAAAAAAUGGAUUAGGGAUAAUGCAUUAACUUUUGUAAUAUGGUGUAAAAAUGUACUUCUUUUUCUGAUGUUUUGUAGCAAUGGUAAAAUUUUGAAAAUGGUCCUUUCCCCCUUAAAACCUGUGAAUCACAUGAUCACAUCUUUACAAAAUACACCAUAACUGGGCAGUGAACUACGCUUAUCGCAUUUCUAGAAGCUCUUAAAUUAAGUUUUCAAAAUUAAAGAUAUAUACACCCAAGACUUGGCAGGAAGAUUUUUUUUUCUCUUUAGAACUACUCAGCAAACCCCACAUGGGGUGAAGAAUUAACCAAUGCCUUUCUAUUUUUCAGCACUGCGCAGAGGCGUCACAAAUCUAAACCUCUGCAACAAACCUAAU